rnacentral:lncRNA from 1 species
GUAGGGAAGUGUAGUGCUUAGUGCUGGAACAAGCCUUGUGCCUGCUCCCUGUGCCAUCCCAGGGGUGAUGGACCCCAUCCUGCUCCCACUUAUUGCCCAAAGAAAGCAUUGUUGUCCCCCUGGCACUGUGAUGCAAAGUUCACGUUCUCUUCUGGUUGGAUUCCUGAGAGUCUGUGGGACAUUGUGCAGCGACCUUUUUUUUUUAGGAACGGCUGCACUGAAUUCAGCCCUGUGCAAGUGCUGAGAUUUUAGAAGAGCCGGGUGCAUCCUGACAGAAAGACACAAGCUGAGCUAAUAAGAACUGCAGCAGAUUUUGCAUGCACGUUGCAAACUGUGUCCCGAAAGGAGCAGGAUGGGGUGGAAGAGGCAGCGGCCACUGGCAGAGGAACGCAGGGCUGAGUCACGGCCGCAUCGUGCCAGCACUGCCUGCCCGCUGCCUGCAGUGCCUGGGAGAGUUCUCCGUGUUUCUCUCUCUUCCCUUUCUGCACAGGAAUCGUUACUCACUCUGCACACAAUGCCAGGGUAUUCUAUGUCUCUGUGAUGGCAGCAGAGUGCAGCCCUAGGGCUUGACCCCAGCCUCAGCCUUUGCUUGGGGACAGUUAGCAUGGAGACAGCACCUGCCUGCAUAGCCUGAGCUUGCUUGGAGGGAAGUCAAUGGUAACGGCCUUCUCUAUGAAAGGAACACUAAGUUUACCUGUGAAGGAGGUAUUCCCACCUACGCCAAAUGCAUGACUGGAGAGAAUUUCAAGGCGUGGGCAUAGAUGCAUGUAACAGAGACUUGAUUUAAAUAAAAAUUGAGUCCAAAUUACUCAUCUGCUUUAAGGACUUUAGUUGUACACAUGUGAACGUCACUGCCCAGCAUGGUUCAUCACAGCUUCCCCUGCUUUUAACACCAUACAGGUCACACUGAAACCCAGUGAUAUCACUGUUCCAAAAUCCCCUUUAUCCUCAUGGUGAAUAUGAACACAGUGUUUUAAACACCUUUGUUAAUCCCUGCUGGAGAAUAACAAAUCAUUCGUUUGAUUAAACUUUAUCUCUCAGACUUGGACAGACAUGGCUGCAACAUGAAAUGCCCCAAGUGAUAAGAGAGCUGAGCGGAGCAGGUCACACUAACUCUGUGUUGAAACACAGAUUUAGAUGUUAUACUGAUCUUCAGGUGAAGGCUGAGUUAUUGGAAGUGAUGCAGGCCCUACUUCUCUGAUUGGCACAAGGACUGAUAAACAUUUCAGGUAGCCCAGGAAGAGUUGAUGAGCCCAGCUGGAAGUUUUGGCUGAUCCCUAGGAAAGGCUCAGCAGCACCAACACGAGCUCUGGAAAACAAUCCCCUUCUCCCAAGACAAUAUCUGGGAUAUGGAAAUAAAUAAAUGGAACCCUGCCUUAUAUUUCCUUAGAAAACAGGGUUAGAGAGCUCAAGGAUCCUCUGUGGGGACCUGAGCUUCCCCCAGCACUGCAGUGCUGGAGCUGGAUGAGCCCCACCAUCUUUAAUCAGAUCACUGGAAAUAUACAGAUGCUGAUCCGAACCCAAAUGGAAAUCUUACAUUAGGACAGAAUAUGGUGUAGGUGUUUUGGAAGCGUGGAUGUGUUCAGUGAAACACUCUCCCUCUGCGGAUGCUAACCUCGCUCGGACUUGUUUGUUCUGCAGCACCUUCCUUGCUCUGUAUGGUUACAAUUUAGCUUGCAUUUUUUUUAACCUAAAAAAAAAAAAAAGAAAAGGGGUAAAGUGAGAAAACAGAGGGUGGGGGGGAGAGUGAAAAAAAAAAAAAAAGAGAUUUUUAAAUCAACUGUCAUUUCUGGCAAGGCUGAGGAUCCCGGCAAGGUAUUUGUUUAUUAUCAGGUAUUUCCUCAGGAUCAAAUCCAGAGGAGAGAAGUCUGGUACUAGUUAAAGUCUGUUUAAAAUCCUUCUUGAAAAGAGAUUUAUGCGAGGAAAUUACCUAACCUCAGGACAGAGGCUUAGUCAGAGGCAGCGUGGUUCAGCCGCUCGCAGUGCGCGGCUUUUUUUAGCCCCACUGAAGGCACCCAGUGAGAACAGCGGCAGAUUUUCGCUCACAUAACGGGAUCAAAGCUCCCAAUUGUUUCGAAGGAAAUGACCCAGCGGGAGGAGCGUGGUGGGCACUGCUGUUUGCUCCCAGCCUCC